ensembl:lncRNA
CACAUGUGAAUGCCAGCAAGCGUGUGACAGGCUGCACAUUCUGUCUGUCUGCCUGUCAUGGUGGAAACCACAGAAGAUACAGUGCUUCAUAAAUAUACUUCUCACUUAUAUGUCAUCUUUGCUCCUGGGAAGGUCACUCUUGGCCUUUACCAGCAGGAAUUUCCUAUUGGCCCGUGUUAGCUUAGUCAGGCAGGAGGAUUUUGUACUCAGAGCUCUUCCCAUCCUCCAUCUCUCCCAACCCACUUGGCUCUUAAGGAUAUAGAGCAGGUAGAGAGUGUUAGUCCCUGUGCGCUCUGCAUAGGCAUGCAACAGAAGCCAUGAAACUGAGAGAGCAUGAUCAAGUUAACUCCUUGACUCAUUUUAGCUAUCCUUCUGAAUAUCUUGCUGUUUGCCAAAGCUACUGCAAUCUCCCAGGUGGGGGCUUGUGUACCAACAUAUUUAGCCCUUCUCCGGAUCACUCUAUAGUUGGAACUUUCACCCCUUUUGGACAUGGCAGUAUCUGUCUUCCUAGCAGCACCAUAACAAUGAUGUUUAAUCAGGAAGGAGGUCUGGUGACUAAUAAAGAUGGAGAAAUGGCCAGAGAAUGGAAAUGGCCUCGGGAUGGCAAGCUUGCCCAGCCAGUUAUAAUACAGGUUAAUGAAUACAUUACAGUGAGGAUUGCAGGGCGCUUUGCAAUUAGCUUGAUCUACAACUGGCAACAUGAAAGCGUGUGCUUGUCUUUGUCACCACUGCAGGGUGCGGCUCUUCCACAGUUAGAAGAGUUGCCAAAGUUGACAGAGUUAUUGAAGAAAUACAAAGGUCCAGAGGAGACUAUAAGCCAUGUAAAUGAUAUCAGUGCAGCUAGAGAACUGAGGAAGCUACAGAGGAAGAUCCGGAGCAUUGUGGAGGACUGGCUGGAGCAUUAUCGAACUGCCCUAGGAACUGACUCCACACACAUUCAGAAAAUGUCUGACUUUCCUCUGCAACUCUCAAGGAAAUGCAAAAUUCAGUCUGCAGAUGCUCUCUCAGUUACCUCAGUCAUGCAGAGAUCAAAAGGGAAGAGGAAAGACAACAGCCAAGCUACCAAGUCAGAAAGUCCUCUCCUUCUAGAUCAACUGCAGUCGGCUCCUCCUCACAACAUGCAGCAGGAACCAUGCUCUUAUUCUCUCAGGGCUUCUGUUUUAGCACAUAGCAGUAUCAAAGCAGAAAAGCCACGUAUGACUCAGUUCCAUAUAAGUAAAUGGAGGAACGUACAGAACGUCAGAAAUUCAGGGGAAGGAAAUCUGAACUGAGACUGGACAGUGAUGGCUCUAGUAUAAACAUCAACGGUAGUAGUUUACUAGCAGUUCAUUUCUGGACAUGGUUAAGCAUUUCCACCUGUGCCUCCAUGCUUUUACACCACUGCAUAGGAUGCACUGCAUUUGUAUCAAAAACAAUAGUGACUUUUUAAACCUAUGUAAUCCACAACGGUCUCAUUCAUGCUGUGCCUGCAAUUUCUCAUAUAACAGCAGAAUGAAGUGAUGUUUUUGGUGGUCAAGACUGCAUUAUAUCCUUGAGGCAAGCUUGUCUUUAUCAAUACCUUUUAUACAACUGAAUAGCAACAGUGGUUUUUACAAACUGAACGCUGUCCAAAAAUGGGCAAAAAUAAAGGGACAAAGUACUUCUAAUUCCA